UGGAUAUAUAGCUCAGUUGGUUAGAGUAUCAUGUUGACAUCAUGAAAGUCACUGGUUCGAAUCCAGUUGUAUCCAGC
rnacentral:tRNA from 1 species